AUCGAUCUGCAUCAGGUCCGGCUACUUUGCUUUUUCAAUGCUUGGCUGAUUAAGGUGCUCAACCGGAGUUGAAUGUAUGAACUGUGUGUCCAUCACUGAUCUCAGGCUUGCCAGAGCAUCUGCAUCUGUGUUCUCUACUCGAGGAACUUGUUGGAUAGUAAAGGUAAGGAAUGCCUUCAAAAGCUCUUGGACUUUAGUGUGUGCUUCGCCAUGUACGCC
rnacentral:lncRNA from 1 species